AGCUUUGUGCAGUGGCAGCAUUGUGACCAAUGAGGUUUUUCCAAGGCAUGAUUAUUGCUAAUUGAAAACUUCUCCCAAUAUCUCACCAUGACGACUUGCAAUAUAGUCAGCACUGACAAUUUUUGACAGUCUCUGCAGAGA
rnacentral:snRNA from 1 species